GUGCAUUCUGUUGAUGCAGACGGCAUGAAAACGGAAACAAGAAGUAUGCCGGCUCACUGUGCUGCAUACAAUUACACACUACGUCGUACGAUUGAGACAAGGAAACUUGGAAUGACUUUUCAUAGGUUUCCCAGAGACUAUGGGUUGAGGAGGAAUUGGAAGUUUGUCGGCUUAGACCUGGUGUCAUUCCAUCAGUGUUAAACUUCCCGGCUCAUCUUGGAAGAGUACGUGCCAGAAAGACCACGACCAAGCAGCCUUGAGAUCUUAGACAGCGUCUCCCUGAGGUCCCUCUCUAUCUCCCCACACAUCCACCAACCACUGGAACACAUCUCCAAAGUUCUGCUGGACCAGCUCAGCUUCCCCUCAGAAGAAGUGCUGCCACCUGCCAGAUGAAGGAGCCUUUUGAGAGGCAGCUGGCAUCGUGAUUGGACUGUACUUUGGUCUGUUCCAAUCCAGCUUCAGCUCCAGAGACGGCAGGCGGGACGAGUCAACGGAGGCCUGGUGGACGAAGGCAUGCAGCUGAGUACAAUCCAGAAAACAACAGAGGAGGAGUGCAGCAGCCCAGAGCCAGAACAACCAGAGUAGCAUCGUAUGUCUCUUAGAAAACAUCAUAGUAUAGCCUUUGGUAUGAAAAAAACGCCAUCAUAUACAUCGUAUAUUGUACAAAUAACAAGUCAAAGGAAAGAGACAUACAUUGUAGAAUUGUAGUAAUUGUGGGCUGACUGAUUUACUGAUUAUCAGUAUUUUAUUUUUUACUGAUUUACGGUAAUAAAUACAUUUAAAAAUGGUGCUACUUUGGCUCUGAACCUUUAUCUACCUGUGGUCGCUCUGUCUUCUGGAGUGAUUUGAUUGGUUAUACGUCAC
ensembl:lncRNA